rnacentral:lncRNA from 1 species
UGUGAUUACACUUUUAUUCUCUUCCUUGGAAGAAACAACAACAAUGACAACCUCCAUAACUAAUGCUUCUGGUCUAAAAAACCUUCUCCCUAAAGGACAUGUUUUCACCCACUACCAAUGAUCUCAACAAAUUUCUGGAUAGAAAGGACCUAUAGACAGAGAGAUGUACUUGCCGGAUUUUUUCAUCAACUGAAGAACAGGGGCAUCUGCUGCCACAGAGAGGAGAAGUUGCUCUUUUGCCUUUGGCCAUGGAUGUAUCAGGGUGGCUGUGUAUUCGCCUGGAGAGCCCACAGAUGCCACUGACACAGCAGCUGCUCUGACAAUAGCCCAUCAAUGGUACGCUGUUCUCUUUCUCCCCUCUCCUCCUCCUUCCUGCUAUCCACACACAAAUUCUUCAAGGAAACCCUCUACUAUGCUUCUUGACAACAGGGCUGAAAUAUCUGGAGUAGCAGAUACCUUAGAAGGGCCAUCUUGGAGACUUUUGAAUGCAAUUGAUGGUAUUAGAAGUUCUGAUGAAGAACUAACUUAAAUGGAAAAGGUAGACAUCCAGAGAAAAGUAGACAUUUAGAAAUAGCAUAAUUGGAAGAUUUUUAUUUUAAAAAUCCAUUCUUAAAGCCGGGCACGGUGGCUCACGCCUGCAAUCCCAGCACUUU